rnacentral:rRNA from 1 species
UCUGCCUAGUAGUGGGGGAUAACUCCCCGAAAGGGGAGCUAAUACCGCAUAAGCCCCAAGGGGUAAAGAUGGCCUCUUUCUAAUGCUAUCGCUUCCGGAUGAGCCCGCGUCCUAUUAGCUAGUUGGUGAGGUAAUGGCUCACCAAGGCUACGAUGGGUAGCCGGUCUGAGAGGAUGAACGGCCACACUGGGACUAAGACACGGCCCAGACUCCUACGGGAGGCAGCAGUGGGGAAUUUUGCGCAAUGGGGGAAACCCUGACGCAGCAACGUCGCGUGGAUGACGAAGGCCUUCGGGUCGUAAAGUCCUGUUCUGGGGGAAGAAAAGUAGAGGGCCAAUACCCCUCUACCCUGACGGUACCCCAGCAGAAAGCUCCGGCCAAUUAUGUGCCAGCAGCCGCGGUAAUACAUAAGGAGCGAGCGUUGUCCGGAAUCAUUGGGCGUAAGGGCUCGUAGGCGGUCCUGAAAGUCAACUGUGAAAUCACCAGGCUCAACCUGGUGCGGUCAGCUGAAACUUCAGGACUUGAGGGUAAAAGAGGAAAGCGGAAUUCCCGGUGUAGCGGUGAAAUGCGUAAAUAUCGGGAGGAACACCAGUGGCGAAGGCGGCUUUCUGGUCUACCCCUGACGCUGAGGAGCGAAAGCCAGGGGAGCAAACGGGAUUAAAUACCCCGGUAGUCCUGGCCGUAAACGAUGGAUACUA